AAAGGGUUCUACAAGGAAGGUUUAUGAAAACCUUGAGAAUAAAAAUGCAGAAUAAUCAUAUCCUUAUAGAUUGUAUCAAGACGACAGAAAUUGUAUGAUCAGACCCCUGACCAUCGCCUCAGCUCAUCAUUGCGUCAUCUGGAUGGCUUCCCUAAGCUCCCACCUGGGCCCAGAAAGGAAACGGCUUAUGACCUGCAGUCUUUGACUAUCACCAUCUCCAUUCUAUUUAUGGCCCUGCUGCACCUCUGUGCAAAUUAGGAGAAGGUGACCCUCUUGUGGGGAUGGAGGAGAAGGACAAACCAGGCCGUGAUCUGGCCAGUAAAGUGGGACUGGGCUGGCUCCUGGUGGGCUUUGGUAAGGUGUAACCUGCACCAUGGUCAUUACUGCCCAAAAUGAGAGCCAUCAGCUUGCUAAGAAUCGCUGAGCCCGGAGCGCCACUCUUGGGUGAAGAUGCUUCUUUCAGAUCCCCGCCUACCCACCUGCAAGGCUUGCAGGAAGUCUUGAGAAGAACCAAGAAGGAGGCUGAUGCUCCUAGUUGUUCAUGAGCAGCCAAUGUGGUAGGCUGAUGCCUAACAGUUUCCACCUUCUUCUGCAUUUGUGGCUGAGGAUCUACCCAUGAGCCCCACAGAGCAAGAGCUGCCAGAUUAAUGCUCCUGCCUAUGACAUGGAAAUUGUCAAAAAUAGACCUGAAUCCUUGCCAGGCCUCCCCAUGAUUUCUGUGUAGUAUGGCCUUAAAUAUAUUAGAUAAGUCAGAAGCCUAAAAUAGCUCAGCUCUUAGAAUAACAGAAUUUGGUCCCCUCCCACUUCCGUAAGUUGAAUUCUUAAUUGCUAAAUUUCAGGCUUUUUUGUUGUUGUUUAUGUAAGAAUUUCAAGGCCACAACUCCAUAUUUGAAGUAAAGUGCUCAUAAAAUUAAUUGCAAGACUUCUGAAGAGAGAUUUGCUAGGAAAAAUAAAAAGAUAUAUAAAUUUCAGUGAUGCUGAAGGAGAGGAAGGAUGUGAUGUCUUUCCCCAUCCGUCAUAAGGGUCAUGGCCAACACUCCUAUAACAAAAGGUUUUGAGAAGCCAUCUGCAGCUCACAACUAGAUGAGUGACACAAUCAGAUGUGCGUAUGCAAAAAAAAGCCUGGAGACAUUGAACUAAGAUCAAAUUUAAUGUAUUAAAUAUGGUAGAAAGAAGAGAGAAUGAAAAAUAAUGUUAACAAUCUAGGUGAGGAAUUGCUGAGGAGACAAAUUAAGUAAAUCCUGUGGAAGGAAAGAAGAAAGGAGGAAAGAGGAUUGGAUGGAAGAAUCUCCACUUCUCAUAGGUGUAGUCCUUCCUUAGCCUGCUUUUUAAUGAGUGCUGCUAAAGCCCUUAGCCUGCCUGUUUACCCUUGGAGUGGAGCAAUGAACUGAAGAUAUUUGAGUGAGUUCAAGAGAGACUCAGAAGAGAAGAAUUGGAGGCAGCAAACAUAGACAGCACUUUUAAUGCUUUUCUCAUAUGCUGUAAGACAUGAAAGCAAUCUAUUGGGAUGAAAGCUGAAAGGAGAAGCGGGACAAGAGAAGUGAAUCCGUGGAAGACCCCCAAAAGAGGCUGCAGAUUCUUAGUGGACAGCUCUCAUAUCCCCUCCAGGGAAAAUGAUGAAAAAUGUCUUCAGAAAAAUAGCUUUAUGAAGGCAAGAGGACUUUUUGCACCUGCAAGACAUGUCUGAAAGCUCCUCAGGUCAAAACACAAGUAGUCAAGAGAUUUGUCCAUCUAAUUCAUCAUACUACUCUGAUCCAAGUGAGACCCACACUGGGUCAGCUCCAUCAAGGAGAAGAACAUUCCACCCACGUUUGGAUUCUGGAAUAUCAUCCUUGCUUCCAUCAGAUUCUUGUAAGUACCUCACUUGGCACAAGGUAGACAUGACGUUCAAGGAAGUCAACUGCGUUGCCCAAGAGUAAGAGAAGGAAUCUCUGAAGAAGAGCAACUUUUCAGACAGGUAGAGUGUGCCUUGCUCCCAAGGAAAAGAGUUCUUGAAAAAAACAAAUGGGAAACAUGGCUACAAGAAAACUGGGAAGACUGCAAGGCAAAAACAUGCUAACUGACAAGAAAAUCAUGGGUUUUAUACAAGGAUAACAAGUGCUGGGUUGCUUAGCUAUGAGGAAGGCUAGGCUCACUGCAUACCAGAAGAUGUACAGCGUUGGAGAAUUCAGGGAUUUUUAUCAACAAUCAAACUAUAUUUGUGGAAAUUUUGUGCAUAAGUGCCAAAGAUGGCUGACAUCGGACCACAUUCUAUUUAACUCAACUGAAUGACACCAAGCUCUCAUCCUAAAACUUAUAGUUACAUCCACCCUUCUGAAAUAUUUAAUUAUUCUCCAAUACACUGGAGGUAAUAGGUAUAAAAAGAAUGAGCAUGUGCAACUUAGUAUCUCAUAUCUAAUUUUGUGUCCCAAGUUCAUUCUUCCCCUGAAUGUCCCAUGUCUACCAGGUGCAGGAUUAUCUGGAUGGGUCAGUUCAAAACAAUUUCAGGGAAUAAAUUGUGUAGGGGACUCAAUUUUCUGAGACAGAAACAUAAUGUGAAUAACUCCUUUGUUAGAAAAUAAUUUCAGUGACAGAAAGCCUUUCAGUUCAUAAAGAAAACUUACAUAUCAACAAGCCUAGCUCCUCACUAGUCCCAGUGAAUGCUUACAUCAAUCAGCUCUACAAUAUCCAGUAAAGGACUUUCCAAUUCGCCUUUGAAUAAACUGAGGUAUUGGAAACAUCUAAGAAAAUGGUUUUUAAUUCUUCCUAAUCUUCAGGGAGUUCUUCCUUAUAUUGAGCUGAUAUCUGCCCUCUGUAACUUUCAACUAAUUAUUCAAAUCUCUCAAGUGAUUAUAAUUAAUUCCAUCUUAUAAGGAAUUUUUCUCAGCUUCCAGCCUCUUGAAAAUACUCUGAUAUUUUCUCUAAUAUUCAAGUGGAAAUGUAAAUGGGUAACGUAAGAGUCUGUGGGGUUAGGAGGGUGGAGGAAAGGUAAGGGAAAGCUAAUGAGAAAUAACCAAAGCAAGAAAAAGAAUUUUAUUUUCUUCAAGUUCUUUGUACAUCCAAAGUGGAAGAUUCCUAAAAUAAAUUCCCCAUACCACAUUUUAAAAAUUAGGUUAGCAAGCUUACUUUUUAAUUUAUUUAGAAGCCAACUACUUCCAUUUAUUAUUUCUUUCCAGAAUAGAACAAUUAUCACUAAUUGUUUGUCAUUAUAAUGCCAAACUAUGUUAAUAGAUGCCUAUUUUUUUAAAGGCUAAUUGCAAUCAUGAAACCAAAUAUCUAAUUAGUUUUAGAGCUUUGGACCACAUGCAUCAAUAUUUGAAUCAUUCAGGUGUAUAUUUGCUUUCUGCUUUUUUGUCUCUUCAAAAGAAGUAUUAUAUGCAUUCUGUUUAUAAUUUCUAAAUGGUCAUUUCAAAACUGAUUAUACGAGUUUAUACAAAUCAUACUGAAAUUUGUUGCUUAAAAAAUCUUCAUUUUUCUCUAAGCUCUCAGUGUCCUUGAGCUAUAUAUAUUUUAUGGCAAUUUUUACUUAAUAGUUUGUAUGCUAGUUAUUUUUGACAAUGACUACUAAAAUGCAAGUUUCUUCAAGGGCAGAUUCACCUUAGUUCUUCUUUAUACCCCUCAAAAACCUCAGGGUUAUUCUCAAUAAGUAUUGAGUAGGUGAGUGAACUUUGGAUGUAUACUCCUUGAAAUUAUAUUUCUGGAGCUGGAAAACUUUAAAAAAAUGUAUGUCAUGAGUCUAAAGAAAUAAACAUUAUAUGGCUGAAAAAAUACUUUGUGAAAACCAAAAAUCUCAUGGAAUCAUGAACUUAUCUAUGGGACAGAUGUUAGCCCUGAGGUUGUUCUGGGCUUCUUUUCUACCCACUUCCCAUGACCAAAUCAGUUCACUAGUCAGCAGUUCUAUCCUUCCUCUCCUUCUCCUUCCAUCUAAGGAGCUAGAGCUGAACUGCUUGGCCACUGAUUGCUGACAUGCUGAGUUUUCUACAGCUGGAGUUUUCAAGAGGGCUUUGAUUUUGCUUUCCCCAGUUUUCCUUCUUCCACACUUGAAAAGUGGUAAGGGUACCAGCUUUCUGUCUAUCUCUGACUCUCUCUCUCUCUUUCACACACACACACACACACACACACACACACACACACACUUUUUUUUUUCUUCCACCCUCCUGCACAGCAGGAGACCUUGCCUUGAUCUUUGAAGGUCUACAGCAAGUGGUCUAGGCUAACUCAGUGCUGGGCAAAUGGAGCAAAAACUCUUUUCUGCUUCCUUGCCUCCAUGUCUUUCAGAGCUAGCAGAUACAGCUUUUGUUCUAUAGGAGUGAUUCUUUCUAAAUGUCAGCUCAACAGGAUGAUGGUCACUCUUGUAUAUCACUUAGGCAUGAGUUCUGUUGAAUCCCA
rnacentral:lncRNA from 1 species